GCCCGCCUAGCUCAAUUGGAUAGAGCGUCAGACUCUUAUCUGGUGCUGGCAAGGCUCAAGCUGUUAUCCGUAAAUCUGAAGGCUGCGAGUUCGAUCCUCGCGGUGGGCU